rnacentral:rRNA from 1 species
GCUUGGGGAGUCUGCCCUGUUGUGGGGAGUAACGAGUUGGAACGACUGCUAAUACCGCAUAAUAUUUACGGUAUCAAAGGUAGGCCUCUCCUUGGAAGCUAUCGCAAUAGGAUGAACCCAAGUGGGAUUAGCUAGUUGGUGAGGUAAUGGCUCACCAAGGCGACGAUCCCUAGCUGGUCUGAGAGGAUGAUCAGCCACACUGGAACUGAGACACGGUCCAGACUCCUACGGGAGGCAGCAGUGGGGAAUAUUGCACAAUGGGCGAAAGCCUGAUGCAGCCAUGCCGCGUGUGUGAAGAAG